UGUGGACGAGGCCUCAUGUUUUGAUUUUUUUAGAACACAAAAAAAAUGUUCUCGGUUUUUCUCGUAAUUUUACCCUAACUUUAUCCUAGGUGCCGUUAUUAGUUGGCGCUGAUCGUUCAACCCCUGGUAAAAUCACCAUCGUUUGCGGAACCGUGAACUAGUAUGGAAGAAUAUCCAGAGAUCCCAGAGUGUUACUGCGACUGCCAAAAUUGCAGCCUUUUGCGACAGCAGAAUGCGGCGAUGCGGAAGAGAAUUAGAAAUCAGGAAAAGACAGAAACGGAAAUCAUGAAAGAAAUCAGGAAAAUCAUUUCUGCCUUCGAAAAGCCACAGUGCGACAAAUCCCCAGAUUAUAUUAAUAUAAUAGAGAAGCUAGAGAACAUAGUUCGUGAUACAGUGCUUCGCAUCCAAUACGCACAGGCACCACCAUCACCGGUUCCAACAGCGGUAUUUGCAACGGAAGAAGUUAUCUCAUCGACACCACCUCCGGCAACAUCAUCCUAUAGCUAUCUAAAUUUGCCUGUGGAUACUAUUGAUGAGUUGAACGAAUUAGAAAGAUUGGCCAGAAACACAACGUUCGUAGAGCAAGUAACAAAUGUGUUUGUAACAAAAUUUAACUACAACACUCCAAAGAGAAAUAUUUUGUUACAGUUGAUAUCGGACAAUCUAAUAUCUAAAUGCUGUUGGAUGAAAGGAGAACAUAUUCAAUUAUGUAAAUUUAAAAACACUAUUGUUCUUUUCAAUAACAUACUCACCAGUUGCUACGGCGGCCUGUACGUACCGGAUGAGGCAACAUAUAUUAAAAAUAUUUUACAAAAUUGGAAACGGAAAAUGGACGGCAAAACGAAUGAUUCCGAGAAAAUAAAGAUCCCAAUUGUA